AUUGAUAGGCGGUUGUCGAAGCCGUCAAAAAUAAACCUAUUAAACAAUCAACAAUAAACUUGUAGAUAGUGGCAAUAGGGUCGAACCACAGGGAAUUGACACCAAUGAUUUUCCUAAUAAUGACUAGGUCAAGUAAAUAACAAGUAAUUAAAAGAGGGGGGUUUUGAGUUGAUGGAUUAACACUAAAUAACAAAAGAAAGCAAUAAUUUAAAGAUGAGUAAAUCAAUAAGAGAAAAGCUUCUAGUUGAAGUAUGGAUCUAUUUCAGAUUGUUUAGAAUUGAUCAUUGAUUAUUUAGGACUCCUAUUUUAUUUCAAUAAAUUAGUUUUGAUUAUGGAAGACGCUUCUCACAACCAAAUUCCUCCUUAGUUCUAGUUUGAUUAGGAAACGUUCGAUAAUCAAACACUAAUCAACAAGUUGCCAAGGAACGUCCUUGGGGCAUUGUAGCAUCGAACAACUGUUGACUGCAUUAAGACUUAGAGAAACCCAAUUCUAUCCUUGCCAACCGCGUGGUCAAGUUUAGAUUAUGCAAUUUGAUUAAAUGUGUAUUUGAACAACCUAAGCAAUUACGGACCUAAAUCAUUCAAACAAUAUUACUUAAGCAAUUUAAAAGCAAUGGGCCCUUAUUGAUUCUAAAAGCAAAGUAAUAAUUAUGGAAAGCUCAAAUUGCAUAAAUAUUGAAAAUAAAUAGAAGUUUAACAAUGGAGAAUUAAAUCUCCCAAUUCAUC
rnacentral:lncRNA from 1 species